rnacentral:tRNA from 1 species
GGGCAAUUAGCUCAGGUGGAUAGAGCGUUGGCUUGCGGAGCCAAAGGUCACAGGUUCGAGCCCUGUAUUGCCCA